rnacentral:rRNA from 1 species
AUGAGAGGGCUCCAUCGAGAAAUGUCACGCUACGAUGAAAAUCGAGCAGGAAGGGAAUGGUCUGACAGGAAAAGGAAAGGGUGUGUCGUGAGGUGGAUUUUUUUUGUGUUGGGCCCUCUUUUUGUUGGAGAUAACAUGAUGAAUAGUCCGGACAACCAUAUUUCUCCUCCAUAUAUGAUAUGUAUUUGGGGAAGGCUGAACUGUCUAGCUGGUUUAAUUUUGGGGUGCCGGCUGGGCACCCAUUUGAUGUCAAAACACCUUCGGACAUGGGAAGGAUAUAUGAGCUUCACCGUUGGAGACAAUCUUAAUUAUUUGUUUGAUUCACUUGUAGCUCGUAGCAACGCACGGGCAUUUUACUAG